UAUUUGCAUACAAUACUUGCAUACAGUGGCUGUCAGUGUAGGCUUCAUUCUAUAAUCAAAGAUUUUAACUGCAAGGUUACACUGAACUGUGAUCAGGGGCUGCACCUUGAAGUAAUUAUCAUUACUUCUACACAUAUGUCUCCGAUAUUUACUGGCAUUUGUUUGUGUUUGAUCUCUGGUGAGGUUUCACUGGCUUCUGGUCUCUAGAUGGCAGCACCUGAGCAGCGUGUGGACAUUUACACACACAGCACUGCACGAGAAAAAUGCAAUUCACAGCAAGGAUUUUAACUCUUUUCUAGACAUUUUUGUUCAGACAUAUUUAAACACAAACCUGGAUUGAAAAUGCAAAAUGAUUAGUAUUUACUUACAAGGUUAUAACAGCACACCACUGGCUGAACGAAACAUGCCUUGUCUUAAUACAGCGUUUAACAUAUUUGUUGUUGCAUAAAUGAACUGAUGAGCAUCAAUCCAUUCAUAGCAUAGCCAUGUGAACAUGCCACGUUUUACAUCGUUUCAGUGGUUGCUUGCUUUGGUCGGUGGUGAGUUUUCUUUGAGGCACUUAAACUAAAUGUGCACAAGCAUUAUCUGAUUCUGCACAGCAGAUGCAUUUUAAAAACUCCAUCAUUACUGUGAUUUCCUUCUUUCUCUCUGUGUCUGCUGCAGCUGUGUCGUGUGUCUGUAGGCGGCAGACUCGCUCCUGAAUCACCCAAAACAGCACAAGAAACUGUUCACUGCAUCUCAUCAUCUGUUAAAGAGCACUGCAAAAGAUGGGAUGAGAAAAACGACAGGAGUGGAGGAGAGCUGCAGUAAAGAGAGAGAAGAACUAAAGCAUAUGAAUAUAUUUUCGCUGCUAUUUCAUUUGUUCAUUCGCUAAUGUGAUGUUGUUGUUAAUUUUUGGCUAUAAAUUCAUCAUCAUAUGCAAAAGUACAAAUGUAGGCCAAUAAGUAACAAAGUUAUUUCAGUCCCCAAUACAUAAGAUUCACAUCCAAAAAUGUGUUCAUGGGAAAAGACCAACAGUGAAAACAACCCAAUCUGGUUUAUUAAAUAUAUAAGUCAGAACACAUGCUGGGCUAAACUCAGUAAACUGAGCUGGACAGAUCAGACCUAAACUCGAUCAAACCUGACCGUCUACAGCUUUUUCUGAUAUGCAGUAUAACGCAGCCGCUGUUUAACACAAAACUGUCAGAAAGGAAGUCAGAUGAAGACAAGAAACCUGAUGUUAAACCGUUCAGAAGCCAUUAGACCUCAGCAGACCCUCAGGAACCCUGUCUCUCCUCAAACUGACAGAGCAAUGUACUGAUAAUGUCAAGUUUGCUGGCUCAAGCACAGAGAUGCAAACCAAAUAUAAAAAAAAAAAAUUCAAAGUCAAGGGACAUCGCUUCUAGUAGUUCAUGGCUGAAUGAUUGGCUCACAGUCUUAGCUUCCAAUAUCAUGACUCUACAUCUCAAACAAAUACAUUGCAUGUAAUAAAAGAGACUCCUCGAGAUGCAGAAGCUUUGUACUCGUACACUGAAACUGAUUGUACAUGUACAGUAAGAUACUGUAAAAUGUGUAUACAGUAUUGUAGUGUAAACAACAAAGGAUUAUGGGGAAAUAUACAACAUCUACUGUAUUUCCUCACUACUGUACAUUCAUUUACAGUAAACGACUGUAAAUUUACAGAAGUGAACUUGCUCGCGAAAAAGUGACCAAUGGCAAGGGAGAUUUCUGUUUUGACUGUUUGGUGGAAGUGUCUGUAAAAGGACACCGUUAGCUUGACAAAAAGGUUAGCAUAUCAUUUCUGUUUUAGGCAAAACUGAGAUAUUUUAAGAUGGUUUCACUUGAUAACAGAAAACUAACAUUAUUCAUCGUAUCGUUUUUCAUGUCGGGAGUUGGAGCCUUUUUUUUCUGACUGAAUGCCGCCAAAACACUGUUCACAUCGACUGGUGAGUAAGUUAAGGCCACCUAUACUAGUCCAAAUAACUUAAACACGUUCGUACAUUCUGUGGCCCUUUAAUGCAGUUUAGUACCUUGCUAUUUAACCUUUACAGCGAAUUAAUGUGGAAUACUGAGGUAAAGUGUGUAGGCAACACUACUGUUUCAGUGGAGAUUCUAAACAGUAUUUUCUAGUACUUCUUUUUUUUUUUGUUUGUUUGUUUUUUUUUUCAGAUUUCUAGUCUGGAUGUAGUCUGCAACGUCGAAGGUGUACCUCUACUUGUGAAUGCCAAAGUAUCGAUAACAUUGACUGUUUGUGGUCAUGUCUUCUGCAUCGGAGGUGUACUGGAGUCUUUUCCUGUGAUUGCGGUCGUAGCGAUGCUAACAACAGGAGAUUUCUCCAAGCAAAAACUGAAUCCUGACUAUGAGCGCCAGAAUCAUCAUACAGCCAGCUGUCCAUUUUACAGAAAUGCAGAAUUAGGUAACACAAAAUACAUUUUGUUUUACUUUGCAUUUACAUUUAUGCAUUUGCCAGAUGCUUUCUUCCAAAGCAAGUUACAUUGUAUUUAAAGUACACAUUUUAUUAAGUUAUUCAUUCCCUGGGAGUCUAUCGGGGUGGCGCUGGGGGUGGGUCCAAAUGUUUUUAUUACAGUGUCUUAUGCACAUCAAGAUUGAGUUUUCAUGCACAGUCAAAUUAUUUCUAUUAAACCAGCGCUUAAACAGCAAAAUGCAGCUGCUUCAGGUAUCUUUAAAUUACUAUAGCCUAUAAAUUCACAAUACCGAUCUCACUAUCUGUUAAAAUUAUAUUAUUGUUACUGUAUAGCAUCAAAUAUAGAUUUUUAAGUAGGCCUAUUAUAUAUACAGACUUCUAGGACACACACACACACACACACACACACACACAGACACACACACACACACACACACACACACACACACACACACACAUUUAGAGUGAUCAUAUGAACAGAUUGGUUAGCAUUAAGCCUGUUCUGUGGCAGGCUUUAUUAAGAGUC